rnacentral:ncRNA from 1 species
GAGCUUUGACUCGCUUUCGGUUCCGCCAUAUCGCGCGGAUUAAAAGGGAACACGGUGCGGAUUACCCAUCAAGGGCCAAAACCGUGGCUGCCCUCGCAACUGUAAGCGGCAAGUGACCAGCACAUCGCCACUGACCUUGACGGGUUGGGAAGGCUGCCGGGAACGACAGAGCCGCGAGCCAGGAGACCUGCCAGAGCGCAAGACCAUGU